GACGAACGCUGGCGGCGUGCUUAACACAUGCAAGUCGAACGGUGAAGGGGCUGGCUUUGCUGGUCCUGGAUGAGUGGCGAACGGGUGAGUAACACGUGAGUAACCUGCCCCCUUCUUCUGGAUAACCGCAUGAAAGUGUGGCUAAUACGGGAUAUUCUGGGUCUGUCGCAUGGUGGGCCUGGGAAAGAUUGCGCUUUUUGGUGUUUUUGGUGGGGGAUGGGCUCGCGGCCUAUCAGCUUGUUGGUGGGGUGAUGGCCUACCAAGGCGGUGACGGGUAGCCGGCCUGAGAGGGUGGACGGUCACACUGGGACUGAGACACGGCCCAGACUCCUACGGGAGGCAGCAGUGGGGAAUAUUGCACAAUGGGCGCAAGCCUGAUGCAGCGACGCCGCGUGAGGGAUGGAGGCCUUCGGGUUGUGAACCUCUUUCGCCAGUGAAGCAGGCCUGCUCCUUUUUUG
rnacentral:rRNA from 1 species